CGCACGGGUGAGUAACACGUAUCCAACCUGCCGUCUACUCUUGGACAGCCUUCUGAAAGGAAGAUUAAUACAAGAUGGCAUCAUGAGGCCGCAUGUUCACAUGAUUAAAGGUAUUCCGGUAGACGAUGGGGAUGCGUUCCAUUAGAUAGUAGGCGGGGUAACGGCCCACCUAGUCUUCGAUGGAUAGGGGUUCUGAGAGGAAGGUCCCCCACACUGGAACUGAGACACGGUCCAA
rnacentral:rRNA from 1 species